rnacentral:sRNA from 4 species
UAUCACAAGCAGAAGCACCCGCUUCUCACCUGAUUGACACAUGUUUGUAGUUGACAGGUUGACCGUACAUUUAUUUUUUCAUGCAAAUGUUCGCAGUGUGGGUGUUUUAUAUGCCCACACUUUUUGUUUGCC